AGGAGUGAACUUCUAUUUGUUGAUGCUAUAUGUUCAAGAUAUUUCAUGGCCCAUGGACAGAGUGACUGUAUUUAAAGGCAACAGGAAUGUGCGAAGCAGUGUCCUUUCGAAUUGCUGAUUUGCCAUACGAUAGCGCUCAUCAUUUGUACCGGACGAAAGCACUGGUUCAUAUGCAGCUUUUGGACAGAGAGCACAUAGGAUUCAGCCUAGGCGGUAUGUUGAACGUCAACCCAGAGUUUGUCAUCGGUUUACUCGGAGCAUUUGUCACGUAUACCCUAUUGAUAUGGGAUGAUGGCAGAGGAAAUUGUGAAUGCCAUCGUCCGAUAAAUUCCAGCAUAUGGGUGAAUUUAACCAGUUAGCAUCAUAUUAAUUUUCUGUUCCUGACAUCGACGACCCGUAUGGCGAAUUGCUCCCGUGCUGGGACAGGAAACUACAUGACUGGCGCUUCGACACGAUAUUCUAGUUCGCAUGGCCGCGAAAGCGUAGCUUGGUACACCGUAGAAAAUGCAUGCCCAGCAAGUAUCUUGAAGUCUGCGUUGAGGAACAAAUGAACCUUGCGCAAAGCGGCAUGGUGCGGGAAAUGGAGGAGCUGGACUGAUGUUCACUAGAUUUCAUUUAUUUAGCCAUGGCUCUAAACUUUUCUUUGAGGUACUGGCUGUAGCGCAGUCUGUGAAGACAUUUGCUAAUUUUAUCUUCUAACGAAGCGCCUCCUAAGUAAUCUAGGAUUUUAUUUUACUCAUACUGCUUCCAAUA